GCCGGAGUGGUGGAAUUGGUAGACGCAGUGGACUCAAAAUCCACCGCCCUUUUGGGUGUGCGAGUUCGAGUCUCGCCUCCGGCACCA
rnacentral:tRNA from 1 species